rnacentral:rRNA from 1 species
AGCGAACGCUGGCGGCAGGCCUAACACAUGCAAGUCGAACGAACUCUCCGGAGUUAGUGGCGGACGGGUGAGUAACACGUGGGAACGUGCCUUUUGGUUCGGAAUAACUCAGGGAAACUUGUGCUAAUACCGAAUGUGCUCUUCGGGGGAAAGAUUUAUCGCCAUUAGAGCGGCCUGGGUCUGAUUAGCUAGUUGGUGAGGUAACGGCUCACCAAGGCGACGAUCAGUAGCUGGUUUGAGAGGAUGACACGCCACACUGGUACUGAGACACGGCCCAGACUCCUAGGGGAGGGAGCAGUGGGGAAUCUUGCGCAAUGGGCGAAAGCCUGACGCAGCCAUGCCGGGUGAAUGAUGAAGGUCUUAGGAUUGUAAAAUUCUUUCACCGGGGACGAUAAUGACGGUACCCGGAGAAGAAGCACCGGCUAACUUCGUG